UUCAACUUUCUCUCUCUUACUUUACUCUUUUCUCAAACCCUCCUACACACUAUUUUUCAUCUUUCUCAAAUUUCUUUCACCCUUCUCAAUCAUCUUUCUCAAAUUUCUUUCACCUUUCUCAAUCUCAUCACUUUCUUCCCUCUCUUCUUCGACAGCUGCCGCCACCACCACCAGCAUACAUCAGAUUCUUCCAUCCCUGUCGUCGUCGUCAGUUUCUUCCAUCCCUUUUUGAAUAUGUAAUGUGUUUGUUUGUGUUUCUUUUGCUUUGGAUCUAUUUGUCGUCCGCAUCCCUAACCUCUUUUUAAUGGGAAAACUGAAGUGCUCACAAACCAAGGGGUAAAACCAAGUGCUCACAAUAUUUUACAAUGUCGUCCGCAUCCCUAACCCCUUUCUCAAUCUCAUCCAAGUGCUCACAAACCCGAGUCAGAGUACGUCAACCUCAAAGUGAAUGGCCAGGUUCUGAUUCCAUCUUCCAUUUUGCAGUUUUUUUUUUUUUUUUUUUUUUUAUUUUUUAUUCCUUGAAACCAAACUGGAAAUGUAAUGUUUGAUUGGGUUUGUGUUGUGCUUGACUUCAUUGUUAGGAUGGGAGCGAAGUGUAUUUCAGGAUUUCUAAGAAAUCCGAACUCAGCAAACUCAUGUAUUCUUACUGUAAAAGACAAGAGUUAGAGUUCAGUACCAUUGCUUUUCUCGUGGACGGCCAUCCCAUUGCUGGAACCCAAACCGCGGAAGAGGUUUUUCCAAGCUUUUUCUAAAAGGGGUUCUUUUUUUUUUUUUUUUUUUUAAUUUAAAUUUAUUUUGAUUUCAGUUUUUGUGUGGUCAUGUUGGUUGAUUUGGGUGUGAUUCUUAGCUGGGGUUGGAAGAUGGAGAUGAAAUUGAUGCCAUGAAACACCACUACGGCGGCGGCGGCGGCGGCGGAGCAAUCUGAGUUUUUCGUUUCUGUGGAAAAACGGUGAUCAAGCGAUAUCUGUCUUUUGGUAACGGUGACGUUUGGUCUUAGUGUUAAAUCUCAUGUUUGCAUUCGAUUAAUUUAGCUUGGCGCCCUUAUUUUACAAGGGGUAAAACACAAUAUUUUCUAAAUUAAUGGUGCUUUUUGAUUUCCUUCCUUUGCCUUUCACAAUAUGCUAUAAUUUUGGAUUUUGGUUCCCAUGAUGUUAAUGCCAUGUUGAUUUGGCACAGGGAAAAUAUGAGCAACAGUAUGAGAGUACAGAAGAAUUCAAGCAAGAGCUAAAAUUGAAGGUUCGAGAAAUAUUAACAGAACAAGAAUGGAGGAGGAGAAAGAUGCAGAUGAGGAUUUCUGAGGAAGAAGGCAGAUUGAAGAAAGAUUUCUGAGGAACAAUAUUCUCGCUUACUUCUUGGUUUGUUUGUAUGUUUGUUUGUAUAUGUUUGUUUGUAUGAAUAUUGACUUUCUCAAUGUCUUCUUUCAUUUGUCUGGAACUGGGAUUGGGGAGUUGGAAACUAACUUGUUUUGUUUGACAUUGUUGUUUCGUUCUGUUUAUGUGGAUUGAUGGUAAAUGAACUUUCCCCAUUCAUGGUAUCUGGCACAUGCUGACGUGCGUACUUAUAAUGGAGUUUGGACUAGUUCCCAUGUUGGUGAUUUUGUGUGUGUUACUUCUUUUGCAGGCGAUAUGAAAAAGCAUCUGGUGGCAAUAACCGGUUUGCAGCUUGAAGAGCAGAGACUACUAUUUCGAGGUAAGGAGAAGGAUGAUGAUGAGCAUUUGCAUACCGCAGGGGUGAAGAAUUUGUCAAAGAUUUUACUCUUGGAGAACAAGACAAACAAGCAGAGGAAGGUCGUGGAAGAUGUUAAGGUGGUAGAAGAGGUCGAGAGAAGUGGUGAGCUUUCGAAGGCAUCAGCAGCCAUUGCUGAUGUUCGGUCUGAGGUUGAUAAGCUUGCAGAUAGGGUUGCUGCCUUGCAAGUAGCUGUUAAUGGUGGCACAAAUGUUGAAGAUAAAGAAUUCGUAGUAUCAACGGAGCUGCUGAUGAGACAACUGUUGAAAUUAGAUAGCAUUGAUGCUGAAGGGGAAGCAAAGUUGCAGAGAAAAGCCGAGGUUAGUAUUUAAACAUUGAUGGUCCUUGUUGGGCAGUUUGACCAUGCUGAUCGUCUAUUCAAUAGCAUUAGAGAUACUUGGAUAAGUGCAGCUGGAAAGGGAAACACGUCAGACGUGAAGGAACUCAUUCCAGAAUUCUUUUACAUGCCAGAAUUCCUCGAAAAUACGUUCAACCUUGACUUGGGAGAGAAACAAUCUGGAGAAAAGGUUGGUGAUGUUGUCUUACCUCCAUGGGCCAAUGGCAGUGCUAGGGAGUUCAUCAGGAAACAUAGAGAAGCAUUGGAAUCCGACUUUGUUUCGGAAAAUUUGCAUCAUUGGAUAGACCUCAUCUUUGGAUAUAAGCAGAGAGGGAAGGUAUUGUCAUUAUCAGGUUUCAAGCUGGAGAGAUUUUAUGAAGGGUGGAAAGAAGGGUGGUCAGAUUACGUAGAAUGCGUGAAGUGAAUCAAGAAGUUGUCCAAAAACAAGGCUUUUGUUAAAUAAGAUUACGUAGAAUGUGUAUUUUGUUAAAUAAGAUUUCAUUUUGUGUAUGCAAAUGUAAAAGACAAAUAUUAAAGUUUCUAAAUAAUAUUAAUUUUAUUGAUU